rnacentral:rRNA from 1 species
UACGUAGGGGGCUAGCGUUAUCCAGAAUUACUGGGCGUAAAGCGCGUGUAGGCGGCUGGUUAAGUGUGAUGUGAAAUCUUCGGGCUCAACCCGAAAACUGCAUUGCAAACUGGCCUGGCUAGAGUGCAGGAGAGGGAAGCGGAAUUCCAGGUGUAGCGGUGAAGUGCGUAGAUAUCUGGAGGAACACCAGUGGCGAAGGCGGCUUCCUGGCCUGUAACUGACGCUGAGACGCGAAAGCGUGGGGAGCGAACCGG